rnacentral:tRNA from 1 species
GCAUUGGUGGUAUAGUGGUGAGCACAGCUGCCCUCCAAGCAGUUGACCUGGGUUCCAUUCCUAGGCAAUGCA